UUUGUUUUCAUAAUUCAGAUUUACCGAGCAUAUAGAGGGUUUUUGUGUGAACGUCAAGUCUUCAGAAAGGAAUCCGAAAAGCAGAUGAGAACGGGGUACAUAUCAUUACUACAUCAAAUCCUGUUGAAUUCUAACUACAGGGAACACAGACAUCAGGCCAGUGAACUCCUAAGUUAUCUGACGAGAAUCAGCAAGGAAGAAGAAAAAGAAGGCGAACAAGACAGACUUAUUGCCUAAGAAAUACUCAAACACUCGUCGAAAUGUUUCUAAUUUUCAGUUGGGCGUCGUAAGUAAUCCGGGAUAGCUUUGGUUUUGUUUUUCUUUGCUCUCUGAUUGGUCCAGACAACUCACGUCACACUCUCAACCAAUCAGAUGCAAAACUGGAGUUAGUGACGUUUUGACUUCUCGCAUUUUCCCGCGCCUCCCUUUAUUUCGAGUUUUGAAUGGCUCCUUGAGAUAAUUCCAUUUCUUUGAUCGGUCGAUAUGAUCAUUUGGUGUUGGCCUUGUAACAACCAAGCGAAGGGUCCUUUAAAAAUGAAUUUAAGCUUAUUCGACUGUUUUAAGUAUUUUUGCUGCGAUGACUUUAAAUUAUAAUUCGGAGCCUAUCAGCAGAACACUCUGCAAGGAGAUUCACUCCUUACACAAAAAGAUGUUAUAUACUUAAUGAAAUUAUUUCGAAGAGACGCCAUCACUUUUAAAAAAGAA